CGUUCGCGUAGGCUGCCAGCGGCUCUGGAAACGUUGCGUGCAGCCAGAAUCAGCGGGAGGAGCGGCCGAGGUAUCGCGGUAUUUGGGGGCUGCCCCCGAGACACGCCUGCCGCGGAUCUUAAAUUCUGACAGAGCUGUAUGGAGCCCAGUUCUAGCAAGCUUCCAGGACCUGAAGUCACCAGACCCCACAUGGAAUCAAGGGCCACAUGUUCAGCUGCUGCUCCCUUGGAGAGACAGUUCCGAGUUCUCAUAGGUGUUACUGGGAGUGUUGCAGCCUUGAAGUUGCCUCUUCUAGUGUCAAGACUUUUGGAUAUUCCUGGCCUAGAAGUAGCAGUGGUCACAACUGAGAGGGCUAAACAUUUCUACAACCCCCAGGAUGUUCCUGUCACCCUCUACAGCGACGCUGAUGAAUGGGAGAUGUGGAAGUGCCGAUCCGAUCCAGUUCUCCACAUUGACCUGCGGAGAUGGGCAGACCUCAUGCUGGUGGCUCCUCUUGAUGCCAACACUCUGGGGAAGGUGGCCAGUGGCAUCUGUGACAACUUGCUUACCUGUGUCAUCCGGGCCUGGGACCGCAGCAAGCCCCUGCUCUUCUGCCCAGCAAUGAACACUGCCAUGUGGGAGCACCCCCUCACUGAGCAGCAGGUGUGCCAGCUCAAGGCCUUCGGCUAUGUCGAGAUCCCCUGUGUGGCCAAGAAGCUGGUCUGUGGAGACCAAGCCCAGAACCUCUCUAAACUGCUAUGGCUGCUGCUGAGCAAGAGGAGGAAGCCUUUGAGCAAGGCCCAGCCUCCACCCUGAACUGUCUCCAGCUCUUCCUCCACACAACUGAUGUGUCCCCCUGCAGCCUCCCCAUUGCCUCAGGACACUGUCCUGGACAAAGGCCAGCCCUGUUCUCAAGGCACUUCUGGUUCAGUGAGUAGCCAAAAGAGCAGAUAGACGAGCCCAGGGAGGAAGGGAUGGAGGCAUGCAGCAGAGGAGUCCCACCCAGGGGACAAGAGCACACUCCUCUUAUCAGCUUCUGGCGAAGGAGACUCGUAUGUUCUGAGCAUUGUGUGCCAGGCUCUUCCUGUUGCAUAUAUGACUGUACUUCAUCCAUCAUCUUGUGAGGCCACUGUGAAAGUAGCUCCACUCUAGGCAGGUACAGCCAAGAACAAAGGAUUCUCUCUACCUUCAGUAUCCAGUUGAGAGCUACAGUAUCUCUCUGGGAGUGGCAGACCACCAGCAUUUCUCAUCUUCCUCACCUCUGUGUGUUGCAGCAGCUCUAUUCCAGGUAAGAGUAGCUGAGAGGACUGAGGCUCUCUUCCUCAACCCAUUCCCAACUCAUAGGGUGGAACUUCUAUUCUAGGCAUGAAAGCCUGAGGAUACUGAGGUCCUGAUCUCCCUCCCUUGGCUUCUAAAGUGGAAGUUCCAUUCUGUGAGAGGCCAGCUUAGAAGACCAAAGUCUACUGCCCCAACCUUGUAAAGCAGGCAUGUCAUUCCAAGCCAUCAGCUUCAGAGCAGUGGCACAAAGGUUUUGUACAGAGAGAGAGAGGAAGUUCAUGAGAGGAAGUCCAUAAGAACAUAAGAACUCUGAUGUUCUCUCCAAGGGAACUGAAUUUAUUUGCAACAGAGUGUGCAGAAAUUCAAGCAUAUGGAGGCUCUCAAAAAUUAUGGAGAUAUUGUUGGUAUAUGCAAUUAAGGGAAUUCCGGUAGUGCUUUGAGAAAAAGAAGCUAAAAAUUAGACCAGCUCCAAGUUUGCCAGAGAGAAGCAGGCAAAGAGGUAGCUGAGAAGAGACCUCCUAAGGUCAGAAUAAACUUCAAAGACUGUCCUCAAAGACUGCUCCUGAAAAGGGGCUUAAUUUCACUGGAUCAGAUUGUGCAGCAAUUUAUGCCCCUGGGCAUUGUUGAAAAUAAUAAAGCAGUUAGUCAGCAAUUAGUGGAAGCUAGUAACUGGGUGUGAUACCAAUAGAGAUAGCUUAACAGAAAGAUUGAGGAAAUAGACAAAGAGGGCCCUUUUAAAACCAUUGUCAUCUCAGGGUGACAGUGCACCUAUCCAAGGUUCAGCCUUUUAGUAGUGAAAUCAAGAGACUACACACUGCAGGGGAAAUAAAAUUUCAAAAUAGUCCAGCCAGAUCACUAUGUGUGGGUAUGGGUGGGGGGAGGAGUUUGUGGCUAGUAUCCAGAGUUGCUGCAAUAUAUUAUCUAAAAUACUAACUUGGGAGUUCCCUUCAUGGCUCAGUGGUUAACGAUCCCAAUUAAGAUCCACGAGGAUACGGGUUCAAUCCCUGGCCUUGCUCAGUGGGUUAAGGAUCUGGCAUUUCUGUGAGCUGUGGUGUAGUUUGAAGACAAAGCUCGGAUCCCAUAUUGCUGUGGUUGUGGUGCAGGCCAGCAGCUGCAGCUCCAGUUGGGAACUUCCAUAUGCUGCAGAUGCAGCCCUAAAAAAGAAAAAAAAAAAUUGAAGAAAUAAUGGCUGAAAACUUCCCAAAUUUGAUGAAAAACAUUCAUCUGCAUAUCUAAAGCUCAAUGAACUCCAAGUAGGAUAAAUAUGAAGAGAUCCACACCAUAAAACAUUGCAUUAAACUUUUGAAAGUCAUAGACAGAUAAAAUCUUGAGAACAACAAGAGAAUAAUGACUUGUCCAAGGAAAGCUUAUCAUCAGAAACAGUGAAAGCCAGAAAGCAGAGGGAUGACAUAUUUGAAGUGCUGAAAGAAAAAAACUGUCAACCAAGAAUCAUAUAUUUAGCAAAACUAGCUUUCAAAAAUGAAAAUGAGGAGUUCCCAUUGAGGCUUGGUGGAUUAAGAACCCAACUAGUAUCCAUGAGGAUGUGGGUUCAAUCCUUGGCCUUGCUUAGAGUUGCCACAAGCUGUGGCGUAGUUUGCAGAUGCAACUCAGAUCUAGCGUUGCUGUGGCUGUGGUGUGGGCUGGCAACUGCAUCCCUGAUUUGACCCCUAGCCUGGGAACUUCCAUAUGCUGCAGGUGAGGACCCAAAAAUCAAAGAAAAAAAAAAAGAAAAACCUUUCCAAUAAAACAAAAAUUGAGAGAAUUCAUUGCUAGCAGACCUGUCUUACCAGAUAUAUUAAAGGAAGUUCUUCAGACUGAAAGCAUGUGACCUCAGACAGUAAUUCAAAACCAUAUGAAAAACAAAGAGUUCUGUUAAAAACAAUUAUGUAAUUAUAAAAGACAUUAUAAGUGUAAAUUUCUUCUUCUUUCUUAACUUAUUUAAAAAGCAGUUAUAAAAAGCAGUUAUAGAAAACAGUAUGUCUGUAAUUGUAUUGUUGGGUCUAUAACAUAUAAAAUGUAGUAUAUUUGACAAUAACAACAUGAGAUGGAUGAAAACAAAGCUGUAUUGGAGUAAUGAAGUGACAACAGAUUGUAACUUGGAUCCACAGGGACAAAUGAAGAGAACCAGAAUUGAUAAAUAAAAAACUGUAAAAAUA